rnacentral:rRNA from 1 species
GACGAACGCUGGCGGCGUGCUUAACACAUGCAAGUCGAGCGGUAAGGCCCUUUCGGGGGUACACGAGCGGCGAACGGGUGAGUAACACGUGGGUGACCUGCCCUCAGCUCUGGGAUAAGCCUGGGAAACCGGGUCUAAUACUGGAUAUGACUCCAUGACGCAUGUUGUGGGGUGAAAGCCUUGUGCGGCUGAGGAUGGGCCCGCGGCCUAUCAGCUUGUUGGUGGGGUGANGGCCUACCAAGGCGACGACGGGUAGCCGGCCUGAGAGGGCGACCGGCCACACUGGGACUGAGACACGGCCCAGACUCCUACGGGAGGCAGCAGUGGGGAAUCUUGCGCAAUGGGCGAAAGCCUGACGCAGCGACGCCGCGUGAGGGAUGA